GCAGUGGUGGUUCAGUGGUAGAAUUCUCAUUUUCCAUGCAGGAGACCGGGGUUUGAUUCCCGGCCAACGCA
rnacentral:tRNA from 1 species